AUUGAACGCUGGCGGCAUGCUUUACACAUGCAAGUCGAACGGCAGCGCGGGCUUCGGCCUGGCGGCGAGUGGCGAACGGGUGAGUAAUGCAUCGGAACGUGCCCAGUAGUGGGGGAUAGCCCGGCGAAAGCCGGAUUAAUACCGCAUACGACCUGAGGGUGAAAGCGGGGGACCGAAAGGCCUCGCGCUAUUGGAGCGGCCGAUGUCGGAUUAGCUAGUUGGUGGGGUAAAGGCUUACCAAGGCGAAGAUCCGUAGCUGGUCUUAGAGGACGACCAGCCACACUGGAACUGAGACACGGCCCAGACUCCUACGGGAGGCAGCAGUGGGGAAUUUUGGACAAUGGGGGCAACCCUGAUCCAGCCAUGCCGCGUGCGGGAAGAAGGCCUUCGGGUUGUAAACCGCUUUUGUUCGGGAAGAAAUCCUCUGGGCUAAUACCCCGGGGGGAUGACGGUACCGGAAGAAUAAGCACCGGCUAACUACGUG
rnacentral:rRNA from 1 species